rnacentral:rRNA from 1 species
GUGGGGAAUCUUGCGCAAUGGGCGAAAGCCUGACGCAGCCAUGCCGCGUGAAUGAUGAAGGUCUUAGGAUUGUAAAAUUCUUUCACCGGGGACGAUAAUGACGGUACCCGGAGAAGAAGCCCCGGCUAACUUCGUGCCAGCAGCCGCGGUAAUACGAAGGGGGCUAGCGUUGCUCGGAAUUACUGGGCGUAAAGGGCGCGUAGGCGGACAGCUUAGUCAGAGGUGAAAGCCCAGGGCUCAACCUUGGAAUUGCCUUUGAUCCUGGCUGUCUUGAGUUUGGGAGAGGUGAGUGGAACUCCGAGUGUAGAGGUGAAAUUCGUAGAUAUUCGGAAGAACACCAGUGGCGAAGGCGACUCACUGGCCCAAUACUGACGCUGAGGCGCGAAAGCGUGGGGAGCAAACAGGAUUAGAAACCCUGGUAGUCC